rnacentral:tRNA from 1 species
CAAACAAUAGUCUAAAUUAGGACCCUAG